UACGUAGGGGGCAAGCGUUGUCCGGAAUGACUGGGCGUAAAGCGCGCGCAGGCGGUCUUUUAAGUCUGAGGUGAAAGGCUGGGGCUCAACCCUGGCAUCGCCUUGGAAACGGGAAGACUUGAGGACUGGAGAGGCAAGGGGAAUUCCACGUGUAGCGGUGAAAUGCGUAGAGAUGUGGAGGAAUACCAGUGGCGAAGGCGCCUUGCUGGACAGUGCCUGACGCUGAGGCGCGAAGGCGUGGGGAGCAAACAGGAUUAGAUACCCUGGUAGUCCACGCGGUAAACGAUGAGUGCUAGGUGUCGGAGGGUACCACCUCCGGUGCCGAAGGAAACCCAAUAAGCACUCCGCCUGGGGAGUACGGUCGCAAGACUGAAACUCAAAGGAAUUGACGGGGGCCCGCACAAGCAGUGGAGCAUGUGGUUUAAUUCGAAGCAACGCGAAGAACCUUACCAGGGCUUGACAUCCCCCUGAUGGGUCGAGAGAUCGGUCGUCCCUUCGGGGCAGGGGAGACAGGUGGUGCAUGGUUGUCGUCAGCUCGUGUCGUGAGAUGUUGGGUUAAGUCCCGCAACGAGCGCAACCCUUGAUCAGUGUUACCAGCACGUAGUGGUGGGGACUCACUGAUGACUGCCGGUGACAAACCGGAGGAAGGCGGGGAUGACGUCAAAUCAUCAUGCCCCUUAUGUCCUGGGCCACACACGUGCUACAAUGGGCGGUACAACGGGAAGCAAGAGAGCGAUCUGGAGCGAAACCCUAAAAGCCGUUCGUAGUUCGGAUUGCAGGCUGCAACCCGCCUGCAUGAAGCCGGAAUUGCUAGUAAUCGCGGAUCAGCAUGCCGCGGUGAAUCCGUUCCCGGGCCU
rnacentral:rRNA from 1 species